GACGAACGCUGGCGGCGUGCCUAAUACAUGCAAGUUGAGCGAUGAAGAUUGGUGCUUGCACCAAUUUGAAGAGCAGCGAACGGGUGAGUAACGCGUGGGGAAUCUGCCUUUGAGCGGGGGACAACAUUUGGAAACGAAUGCUAAUACCGCAUAACAACUUUAAACAUAAGUUUUAAGUUUGAAAGAUGCAAUUGCAUCACUCAAAGAUGAUCCCGCGUUGUAUUAGCUAGUUGGUGAGGUAAAGGCUCACCAAGGCGAUGAUACAUAGCCGACCUGAGAGGGUGAUCGGCCACAUUGGGACUGAGACACGGCCCAAACUCCUACGGGAGGAAGCAGGAGGGAAUCUUCGGCAAGGGACGAAAGUCUGACCGAGCAACGCCGCGGGAGUGAAGAAGGUUGUCGGAUCGUAAAACUCUGUUGGUAGAGAAGAACGUUGGUGAGAGUGGAAAGCUCAUCAAGUGACGGUAACUACCCAGAAAGGGACGGCUAACUACGUG
rnacentral:rRNA from 1 species